rnacentral:misc_RNA from 1 species
AAAAUGCGAUACCUGGUGUGAAUUGCAGAAUCCUGUGAACCAUCGAGUUUUUGAACGCAAGUUGCGCCCGAGGCCUCCUGGCUAAGGGCACGUCUGCCUGGGCGUCACGCCAAAAGACACUCCCCAACCAUUGUGGUGCAGGAUGUGGUGUUUGGCUCCCCGUGAUGCAAAGCGCGGUGGGUCAAAGUUGGGGCAGCCGGCGAAAUAGGGGCCGGUCACAGCGAAAGGUGGACGGCACAUGUUGUUCUUGGAGUUGUGACCUGCAUCGUAACCGGUGACAUGAUGGCCCUCAGGACCCAUUAGCAGUGGCACACAUUGCUUGGACCACGACCCCAGGUCAGUCGGGAUUACCCGCUGAAUUUAA